UACGGGGGGGGCAAGCGUUGUUCGGAAUUACUGGGCGUAAAGGGCUCGUAGGUGGCCAACUAAGUCAGACGUGAAAUCCCUCGGCUUAACCGGGGAACUGCGUCUGAUACUGGAUGGCUUGAGUUCGGGAGAGGGAUGCGGAAUUCCAGGUGUAGCGGUGAAAUGCGCAGAUAUCAGGAGGAACACCGGUGGCGAAGGCGGCCUUCUGGGCCUGUUCUGACGCUGAGGAGCGAAAGCGUGGGGAGCGAACAGG
rnacentral:rRNA from 1 species